UACGUAGGGGGCAAGCGUUGUCCGGAAUCAUUGGGCGUAAAGAGCGUGUAGGCGGCUCGAUAAGUCCGCUGUGAAAGUCCAGGGCUCAACCCUGGAAGGCCGGUGGAAACUGUCGGGCUAGAGUCCGGAAGAGGCGAGUGGAAUUCCUGGUGUAGCGGUGAAAUGCGCAGAUAUCAGGAGGAACACCAAUGGCGAAGGCAGCUCGCUGGGACGUGACUGACGCUGAGACGCGAAAGCGUGGGGAGCAAACAGG
rnacentral:rRNA from 1 species